AUUGAACGCUGGCGGCAGGCUUAACACAUGCAAGUCGAGCGGAGAUGAGGUGCUUGCACCUUAUCUUAGCGGCGGACGGGUGAGUAAUGCUUAGGAAUCUGCCUAUUAGUGGGGGACAACAUUCCGAAAGGAAUGCUAAUACCGCAUACGCCCUACGGGGGAAAGCAGGGGAUCUUCGGACCUUGCGCUAAUAGAUGAGCCUAAGUCGGAUUAGCUAGUUGGUGGGGUAAAGGCCUACCAAGGCGACGAUCUGUAGCGUGUCUGAGAGGAUGAUCCGCCACACUGGGACCGAGACACGGCCCAGACUCCUACGGGAGGCAGCAGUGGGGAAUAUUGGACAAUGGGCGGAAGCCUGAUCCAGCCAUGCCGCGUGUGUGAAGAAGGCCUUUUGGUUGUAAAGCACUUUAAGCGAGGAGGAGGCUACCUGGAUUAAUACUCUAGGAUAGUGGACGUUACUCGCAGAAUGAGCACCGGCUAACUCUGUGCCAGCAGCCGCCGUAAUAC
rnacentral:rRNA from 1 species